GCGGCGUCGGUCCUCUUCACGGAAGGACAACUGUUCGCGAUUGUGCUUUUACGUAGGGCGAGUAGCGAUCUAGAAGUUACAGAGUGUCGCAAGACGGUUUGUGGUGAGAGUUAACUACUGGCGUGUUCGUGCCUGUUUUGUGUUGCUGCGUGACGCCUGCGGUUUGUGGAAGCGGUAUCACGACAGUUCGAGUGUAAAAUGCUGUUCGCCUAUUUGAAGGAUCUUUUCUCGAAUUUUAGUUGCAAUAGAGUCGUUUGCUUCGCCACGAAAAAGAGUGAGACGUCUAAGCUGAAAAUACAAUCGUCCACGCGAGCCACGGCAUAGCGUAUUUUGCGGAAUGACCUAGACGGUAGUUUUUAUUUCUUUUAUCUUUUUUAUCGCUUUUAAGAUAUGCACGUUUGCAAUUUCAUUUACGCAGAACUCAAUAAGAAAUAGUCGGUUUCGAAAUUUCUCGUUCUUGCAGGUGUAAAUAUGGAGUAAAUCCAGUGAUCUCCAACUACCUGGAAUUUUGGCUAAAGGAGGAAAGCGGAUGGUGCUGCAGUUCUUGGUCACGCGGCGAGCGGAUUGUGCUGUCAGGAGUGGCAAUGGUGGGCUUCACGGCGUCUGCGGAGCUGUUGUUCACUUCUGCUCUUGUAGCGCAGGCGAAUAUGACUGGGUACUGUAGAAAAUAAUGUGUGAGAACCAUAAGGCGCAAGUUUGUUGAGAGUCACAGCCGGAAAGUUUGGUUGUGUAAAUAGUCAUUUCCCCAUCAGAGUGUGAAGUAGCCUUUCCUGUACUUCAUCCAACUUUGUAUCAAUAUAAAAUUGGUUGCAUUGUACAAGUGCUAUUUUUUGUGUGGAGACAUACAACACUUUCUGUAUA